UUAAUUGAAGAGUUUGAUCAUGGCUCAGAUUGAACGCUGGCGGCAGGCCUAACACAUGCAAGUCGAGCGGAAACGGCAGUAUUGAAGCUUCGGUGGAUUUACUGGACGUCGAGCGGCGGACGGGUGAGUAAAGGCUGGGAACCUGCCCUGACGAGGGGGAUAACCGUUGGAAACGACGGCUAAUACCGCAU
rnacentral:rRNA from 1 species